UACGUAGGGUGCAAGCGUUGUCCGGAAUUAUUGGGCGUAAAGAGCUCGUAGGCGGUUUGUCGCGUCGAAUGUGAAAUCCCGGGGCUCAACCCCGGGCCUGCAUUCGAUACGGGUGGGCUAGAGUUCGGUAGGGGAGACUGGAAUUCCUGGUGUAGCGGUGAAAUGCGCAGAUAUCAGGAGGAACACCGGUGGCGAAGGCGGGUCUCUGGGCCGAUACUGACGCUGAGGAGCGAAAGCCAGGGGAGCAAACGGG
rnacentral:rRNA from 1 species